rnacentral:rRNA from 1 species
AUUGAACGCUGGCGGCAGGCCUAACACAUGCAAGUCGAGCGAGCGGCGGGCGGGUGAGUCAUGCCUGGGAAUUGCCCAGUCGAGGGGGAUAACAGUUGGAAACGACUGCUAAUACCUCAUACGAGUGGAUUGCCCCGGUGGGAUUAGCUAGUUGGUGAGGUAAGGGCGCACCAAGGCGACGAUCCGUAGCUGGUCUGAGAGGAUGAGCAGCAAAACUGGAACGUUGAAACGGGCCAGACUCCUACGUGAGGCAGCAGUGGGGAAUAUUGCACAAUGGGGGAAACCCUGAUGCAGCCAUGCCGCGUGUGUGAAGAAGGCCUGCGGGUUGUAAAGCACUUUCAGCGAGGAGGCGGUACUCGCAGAAGAAGCACCGGCUAACUCCGUGCCAGCAGCCGCGGUAAUUC